rnacentral:rRNA from 1 species
CCUACGGGUGGCAGCAGUGGGGAAUAUUGGACAAUGGGCGAAAGCCUGAUCCAGCCAUGCCGCGUGUGUGAAGAAGGCCUUCGGGUUGUAAAGCACUUUCAGUGGGGAAGAAAGCCUUGGGGCUAAUACCCUCGAGGAAGGACAUCACCCACAGAAGAAGCACCGGCUAACUCCGUGCCAGCAGCCGCGGUAAUACGGAGGGUGCGAGCGUUAAUCGGAAUUACUGGGCGUAAAGCGCGCGUAGGCGGUCUGAUAAGCCGGUUGUGAAAGCCCCGGGCUCAACCUGGGAACGGCAUCCGGAACUGUCAGGCUAGAGUGCAGGAGAGGGAGGUAGAAUUCCCGGUGUAGCGGUGAAAUGCGUAGAGAUCGGGAGGAAUACCAGUGGCGAAGGCGGCCUUCUGGACUGACACUGACGCUGAGGUGCGAAAGCGUGGGUAGCAAACAGGAUUAGAUACCCGUGUAGUC